UACGUAGGGUGCGAGCGUUGUCCGGAAUUAUUGGGCGUAAAGGGCUCGUAGGCGGUUUGUCGCGUCGGGAGUGAAAACCAGGUGCUUAACACCUGGCUUGCUUUCGAUACGGGCAGACUAGAGGUAUGCAGGGGAGAACGGAAUUCCUGGUGUAGCGGUGAAAUGCGCAGAUAUCAGGAGGAACACCGGUGGCGAAGGCGGUUCUCUGGGCAUGAACUGACGCUGAGGAGCGAAAGUGUGGGGAGCGAACAGG
rnacentral:rRNA from 1 species